AACUGUUCCGGUGGCCUAGUGGUUAGAGCGUCCGCCUCGGAUGCGGGAGGUCGUGGGUUCGAUCCCCGGUCGAGUCA